rnacentral:miRNA from 1 species
UGACCCAGAACCCACUGAAGUU